rnacentral:misc_RNA from 1 species
GGAGGAUAGCACCGAUAUGUCGAGCUGCGCCCUGUGCUGUGAAGCUGUUGUUUCAGUGCCCUCCCUGCCGUGCCGCCGCAACCGCGCCGCGACGACGGCUGUCACGCUACCGCGGAGGACGGUGCCGCCGGACCGGCCAUGGGUGUGACGCGUGGCGCACCCGUGGCGGUGCCGCCUGAUGCCGACGCGGGUGUCGAGGCCUGCCGGCACCGCGUAGCCCGCAGAGCUGACAUCGGCGGCGGCUGUGCUUCUGCAUGUUCGCGUCGCACCUCUGCGCACCGCACGGCGUUGUCGGAGCACGGUGUGCGCCGGCCCAGCAGCCGGGGUGAUAGGUGCCGACCUGCUGUGUGUGACGCGCGCGACCGCACCGCACGAGACCCGGUGCAGGCGCCGGCGUCGCCCUUGUCCGGGAGGGUGCAGCGGCGGCGCCUGUGGAUGUUGCCCUGUGACGCUUUUCGUCCUCCGCGCUGGGCUUCGGUCACGCCGCCGCGACGUCUUGCCGAGAUGCGGCGACGUGUGCCACGACCGGCAGUGCCGAUGCGCUUCUCCUGCCCGCACCGCGUCUGGACCGGCCAGCGGUGGGCUGGGCGCCCCUGCCGUGGCGGCGCGCGAUGGGCGCCGGCGUCGUGCGGCUGCCACACCCUCGCCACGGCCAGCCGUUUCUGCGCUUCAUCGUGCUCGAUCCCAUCGUCUGCGCCUUGGCGAGGGUGUCGCACGCCGACGCUGCCGUGCCAGUCGCAUGCCUCGUCCUCGCUGCUGUAGGAGGUGCGGGCGCACGCGCCGCCAAGCGGCUUCGCGCAGCGCUGCGACCGCCUGGCGCGCACCUUCAUGUCGGCGGCAGACCUGUACAGGGAUGGGGACGCGCCGCUCUCAGCUGGCGCCUCCGCCUCCGCUGCUGGCUGCGAGGCCGCGGCGCCGUGGGCAAACGCGUGUGUGUUUGCGCUCGGCGGUGUGUGCGGUGGUGGCGAGGACUGGGGGUCGCCGAGGUCGGCGUGUGCGCGGUUGAGGGCCGAGCUUUCCGCCAGGGGUGGAGCGGAUGACACGCCCGUGGGGUGUGGGGGCCCGCACGGCUGGACGGCUGACCCGCGGUCGCGGCCGACGACGUCGUCCGUGUGCUCUGCCACGCCUCACGGGUGGGCUGGCUGGGCACGUGCAGCAGCAGCGCGCCCGCUCCUCCUGCGCGGCUGCGUGGGCGUGCCUGAGUCCGACGGCGUGCUGCGGCGGCUGUGCGAGGCCCGUGAAGUCGGCGGCAGCGCCUCUGCGCAGACGGCGUCCUGUGAUGCGCCUGCCGACAGCCGCCACGCUGUGCACCACAGGCCAUCCGAGUCGGUGGCGGUGGGGUGGCUGACGAGACAAGUAGAGCGCGUGCGCGCCUCUGCGGUGCUGCGAGCAAUACUGCGGCUGCCGGGGUCGGUGCUGCUGCGACGGCGACGGCGGCUGCGCCCGCCGAGGCGUGCGUGGGGGCCGCCAUGGCUGUUGCGUUUGGGGUGGUGGCCGAGUACGUGCCGGUUCGGCUGCACGCGGCUCUUGCGGUGGCCUGCGGUCUCGCCGACCCCGCAGCGCCCAUAGACGGCGCCGAGCGGCGCGGCGACGGCGGAGAGCUGAGCAAGAGGCAACAGGCGGACGCGACGGCCGGCGGCGGCGUGACGCGACUGGGGAAGGCUGGGCAGCGGAAGGGCACGCCCCCCUUGCUGGCCGUGCUCGGCGAGAGGAAGCCGAGGACGGAGGGUGGCGCGCCGUGGGCGUGGCGUGGGCGCACGACGGGCCUCGCCAUGGCGGCGCGACGCACGGCGUGUGCCGUGCAGGGUGGGCGAGCAAGGGUGUGCGGGGGAGGGGACGCCGUCGCCUCUGCUGCGUGCUGUGCGGGAGGGCGGCCGCGUGCGUGGGGACAGGUGCAACUGUCCGUCCCGCCCCCGAUGCGGGUGGGGCUCGCUGGAGCCCGUCUGUAUGCGCAUGCGCGCUGCUGCUGUGGCCAGCCUCCCUUCUGCGCCGCCGCGUCGCAGGCCGCACCGCUGCGUUGAGACACGGCGCGCGCCGGUGGGUGGGGUGAGGCCGGGAAUGACUUCUGCUUGGCUUGCUUGCGUGCGAGCAUGCUGGUGGGCUGUUGGCUGGGCGGACUCGGCACGGUGCACCCCAUCCCUCCUCCCUGCGGUCGCCUCGUGUGCGGCGAGGGUGUGCUCUCACCUUGGCGGUGGCGGCGUGCGUGCGAGCGUUCUCUCCUGCCGGCGCACGUCUGCCGUGCAUCCGCGUGCCGGCGCUGUCUCUGUGGUGUAGGGGAGCGGCCCCUCGUGCCCCCUCUCCCCUCAUCCCUGCGCAUGCGGGGCGGCUUGUGGUGGUGGCAGGGGUAGGCCCCUGCGGCGUAGGGGGAGGCGAGGGCGAUGCGUCGCGGCCGGUGUGGUCGGCCAUGCCGUGGAUGGCGUGGCGCCGGAGCGACGUGCGGCAGCGGACGCGCUUGUGCCGUCCGCAUGGCGGGCGAGGGGCCAACGGGGCUCGGGCGUCUCCCACCCGGCCGUUGCUGCCUGCUGGUGGGGAGGCUGAGCCACGCCGAGGGGGACGCGCGAGGUGGCUGCCGGCACGGUGUGCGCUGCUGUGGGGCGACCUGCGUGGGGGAUGGGUGGGCAGAGGCUGUGCAGGGGACCGUGCUCAUGUUGCUGGGCCGCGCGCGGGGGCGGCGCGGGGUGUAGCGUGGCGUCGGCCUGCUGCUGUAGGGCGGAGGCAUGGACGCGUCGAAGGGAGCUGCUUGCGCUGUGGCAGACAUCGCCACCCCGGGUGCCGCCUGGCACUCGCCGCUGUCCCCACCUGCCACGUGCGGCCACCCACGCAUGCGGGCGACGAGCGACAUCGGCACUCAUGAGGGUUUUGUGUCCUGUGCUUCCACACCCCCAGCGCGCUUGGACAGCGCGCCCAUGCAGCGGUGGGGGCCUCAUGGGCAGAGGGGGUGCCCGCGCCACUGCCUGCUCUCUUGGCCCCGCGUGUCCUCCCAUCGGUGAUGGGGGCGAGCAAGCGAGUGCCCCUCGCCGGCCUCUCCCGCCCCACCGAGCAGCGAGAGACACACGUGAGCCACAACGGCGGCCUCGCCUGUGCUGCCUGUGCGUGGCGAGCGGGCGCGUGCAGCCGCAUCCUCCCCCGCGUGUGCGCACACACCCGUCGGUGGGCGGUGCCGGCGUCUUGCGCGGCGUUGCUCUGCCGGCCGGCGGACAGCGAUACGCGGCUGCCGCACCGCCGCAGCGGGAAGCGGGGUGGGCCGGAGUCGCCGCCGACACGGCAAACGCGCGACGGCGCAUAUGCGCCCUCGAGGCCCACCUGCUCGUCUCCGAGCGCUGUCGCUGCUCGCUCGGCGGUCGCUGCUCGCUCGGCGGUCGCUGCUCGCUCGGCGGUCGCUGCUCGCUCGGCGGUCGCUGCUCGCUCGGCGGUCGCUGCUCGCUCGGCGGUCGCUGCUCGCUCGGCGGUCGCUGCUCGCUCGGCGGUCGCUGCUCGCUCGGCGUCGCUUUUCCUUUGCUCUCCUCGACUCUGGCGCAGGGUGGUGAGGGCUGCCACCCGGACACGCCCAGGCUGGCGUGGCUGAAGGCAUCGCCGCUGUAGCCGCAACGGGUACGAGUGCGCGCGAGCAGGCGCAGCAGCAGUGGCGGCUGUGGUGCGGGGGUGGUGUUUCCGCCUCCCCCUCUCGGCGUCACUGGCGCCCCUACCAUGUGUAGCGCGUGGUCGUGCUGCCCGUGCUGCUGUCUUGAACCGUGCUUGAUGCUUGCUCCCACUGCGACGCACUUGGCCACUGCCCUGCCGCUCAUCGUUAUUUUCUGCAUCGAGAGGUUCGUGCCGCGUCGCACAG